CUCACCUAAGUAAUCACAAGAUAAAAUUGAAACAUCAGCAUCUGUAUUUACUGAUGAAGAUGCUUCAAAUCUAAAAGGAAUUGAGUUGAAUAUUUUAUAAUCAUAAUUGUACGAUCAGCAUCUCAUAUCAGUGGCAAAAUUAAUUUGCAGAUGCUCUCAGCCUGACACCAUUUUGCUGCCACAGUCAAGAUAAAACCUGAAAUAUCAGAACAUAUCUCCUCACCUCUCUUUCAAAUCAGCCUAAAAAAGAAAACAGCCAGAAAAGUCAAGCAGACAGAGGAGUCCUGCACUGACACAUUGCACCUGGAUGACAGAAGUAAGAGAAGUGACUGGAUAGUGCCUAAGGACCACAGAGGUGCAGCAGGGUGAUGAACAAACUGAAGGAUUAAGGCUUUAUGAGGAUACAGGGUAGAACCUAAGCUGAGCAAGUGCUGUCUGCCGCUGCUUAGGGCAGACCUGGUAUCACAGUUCCGCAUGGAGUCCUACGUAAGCUGCAUUAUCAGAAAGUCUACCUGCUUUUGUUCUGCAAUUCAGUGUAACCUAAGGGGACAAACUGUCCCGCUAAGAUUACAGAUGUUUGGUGAAUAUGCUGGGGUGCACAAGGAACAAGGAGCAAGCCAAGUCUUUCAGCUACCUCCUUAUCAUCUCCACCCACUGGCAGCUCAGACUGGACAAAAGAAAAGAGACCUCAAAUACUUGAGCUCAAGUAUUGAAUUCUUCAAAAUGUCAAGAAAUUUAACAGCAGAGAGGAGAGAAAUUAGUGGAGCCAGGGUAUUUUCAUCCAGGCUGAGGACAAAGUUUAGUAGGCAUUCAUCAUCGGACUUCAAAGAAUCAGUGCAGGCAAGACGUGCUACCAACUGAACUCUGUGCAUUCUGCUGCUUUGAGAACGAUGUUUUCAGCAUCUCUCUUCACUGCAUGGGAACUUUCUCCACCUUAUGAUAAAUUGUUUUUAAUCACUCUUAAAUUAUUGGUGACUUUCAGCUCGCUAAGUAAUUUUCAUGGUAUUGUGCAAUUAAUGUAUCAUUUUUCCCUUCACAGAUCUAGGAAAGCUUUUCUCAAAAAUAACAAUUAAAAUAGUUAUAAAUUCUUUACUAAGAAGCAAGUGUAAGUAAUUGCUUGCUGAUACUUUUAUUUUGCUUCUGAGACAUAUUUUUUUUCCAGCACCUUUUUUCCUGGAAAUAUAUUUACAUGGGAAUACUAGCAGCUCAACUAAUAUGAGAAGUGGUAAAAAUGUAAUUCCUCUAUAGCUGCUAUCCACCAGAUUCUGUUGAGUACCAGCCUAUAUAAUCCUCAAAAAUAUCAUGCUGAAACUGGAAUUACUCCUUAUAAUAUACGUAAGCUCUUUUAAAUAGUAAACUAAUAAUUCAAAAGGCCAUAGUAUAUAAGUACUUAAGAAUAAAGAAAACUUUUUUUGUGUGGGGGGGAAGAUC
rnacentral:lncRNA from 1 species